CCUACGGGUGGCACCAGUGGGGAAUAUUGCACAAUGGGCGCAAGCCUGAUGCAGCCAUGCCGCGUGUAUGAAGAAGGCCUUCGGGUUGUAAAGUACUUUCAGCGGGGAGGAAGGUGUUGUGGUUAAUAACCACAGCAAUUGACGUUACCCGCAGAAGAAGCACCGGCUAACUCCUUGCCAGCAGCCGCGGUAAUAGGGAGGGUGCAAGCGUUAAUCGGAAUUACUGGGCGUAAAGCGCACGCAGGCGGUCUGUCAAGUCGGAUGUGAAAUCCCCGGGCUCAACCUGGGAACUGCAUUCGAAACUGGCAGGCUGGAGUCUUGUAGAGGGGGGUAGAAUUCCAGGUGUAGCGGUGAAAUGCGUAGAGAUCUGGAGGAAUACCGGUGGCGAAGGCGGCCCCAUGGACAAAGACUGACGCUCAGAUGCGAAAGCGUGGGGAGCAAACAGGAUUAGAUACCCGUGUAGU
rnacentral:rRNA from 1 species